rnacentral:lncRNA from 10 species
CUCCUGACCUUGUGAUCUGCCUGCCUCGGCCUCCCAAAGUGUUGGGAUUACAGGUGUGAGCCACCACGCCUAGCCUUAGAUUGGCAUCAUUUAAAUAUUUUAUUAGCCGCUCAGCCAUAGUAUGAAACUUUAACUUAAAGAGAAUAGUCACUUCAUUUAAGGGUAUUAUGACAAGUUUGUUACUUUCCUAGUUAUCAAAUAAUAAUUCAGAAUAAGUUGUGCAGUUCUUGUAGUAUGUACCAAAGUGAUUAAACUCACCUUUUUGGGGGUGAUGGGGAGGUGGGAUGGAAGUCUUGGUAAAAAGGCACCAGCCUGCUUAAAUGGCAGAUUGAACUUAAUCAUGAAAAUGCUCACAGCAACCCUUAAUGAGUCAAGUUCUGGGUUAUUGACACCAUUGAUGACUACUUGAAUUGUUUUAUGAGAAAGGAAAGUGAUUUUUAAUUACAUCUGAAUCGCUUAAUUUCUGAUUCUCGGUAAAGUAUGAUGAUGAAGAAAGAUGAUGGUUCCUAUCUCUCGGGGUUGUGAAGAUUAAACAAAAUAUGUAAAAACAGGAGUUAAAAAUCAGUGAUAAAUAUGUAUUUACUGCCCAGAAUGCAUUUGGUCUGUCUUUAU